CCCAGAGCCUGAAUCAGUGUGUGUGUUAGUGGAAGCGUCUGGAAAGGCGCGCGAUACAGGGUGACAGCCCCGUACACAAAAAUGCACAUGCUGUGAGCUCGAUGAGUAGGGCGGGACACGUGGUAUCCUGUCUGAAUAUGGGGGGACCAUCCUCCAAGGCUAAAUACUCCUGACUGACCGAUAGUGAACCAGUACCGUGAGGGAAAGGCGAAAAGAACCCCGGCGAGGGGAGUGAAAAAGAACCUGAAACCGUGUACGUACAAGCAGUGGGAGCACGCUUAGGCGUGUGACUGCGUACCUUUUGUAUAAUGGGUCAGCGACUUAUAUUCUGUAGCAAGGUUAACCGAAUAGGGGAGCCGAAGGGAAACCGAGUCUUAACUGGGCGUUAAGUUGCAGGGUAUAGACCCGAAACCCGGUGAUCUAGCCAUGGGCAGGUUGAAGGUUGGGUAACACUAACUGGAGGACCGAACCGACUAAUGUUGAAAAAUUAGCGGAUGACUUGUGGCUGGGGGUGAAAGGCCAAUCAAACCGGGAGAUAGCUGGUUCUCCCCGAAAGCUAUUUAGGUAGCGCCUCGUGAAUUCAUCUCCGGGGGUAGAGCACUGUUUCGGCAAGGGGGUCAUCCCGACUUACCAACCCGAUGCAAACUGCGAAUACCGGAGAAUGUUAUCACGGGAGACACACGGCGGGUGCUAACGUCCGUCGUGAAGAGGGAAACAACCCAGACCGCCAGCUAAGGUCCCAAAGUCAUGGUUAAGUGGGAAACGAUGUGGGAAGGCCCAGACAGCCAGGAUGUUGGCUUAGAAGCAGCCAUCAUUUAAAGAAAGCGUAAUAGCUCACUGGUCGAGUCGGCCUGCGCGGAAGAUGUAACGGGGCUAAACCAUGCACCGAAGCUGCGGCAGCGACGCUUAUGCGUUGUUGGGUAGGGGAGCGUUCUGUAAGCCUGCGAAGGUGUGCUGUGAGGCAUGCUGGAGGUAUCAGAAGUGCGAAUGCUGACAUAAGUAACGAUAAAGCGGGUGAAAAGCCCGCUCGCCGGAAGACCAAGGGUUCCUGUCCAACGUUAAUCGGGGCAGGGUGAGUCGACCCCUAAGGCGAGGCCGAAAGGCGUAGUCGAUGGGAAACAGGUUAAUAUUCCUGUACUUGGUGUUACUGCGAAGGGGGGACGGAGAAGGCUAUGUUGGCCGGGCGACGGUUGUCCCGGUUUAAGCGUGUAGGCUGGUUUUCCAGGCAAAUCCGGAAAAUCAAGGCUGAGGCGUGAUGACGAGGUACUACGGUGCUGAAGCAACAAAUGCCCUGCUUCCAGGAAAAGCCUCUAAGCAUCAGGUAACAUCAAAUCGUACCCCAAACCGACACAGGUGGUCAGGUAGAGAAUACCAAGGCGCUUGAGAGAACUCGGGUGAAGGAACUAGGCAAAAUGGUGCCGUAACUUCGGGAGAAGGCACGCUGAUAUGUAGGUGAAGUCCCUUGCGGAUGGAGCUGAAAUCAGUCGAAGAUACCAGCUGGCUGCAACUGUUUAUUAAAAACACAGCACUGUGCAAACACGAAAGUGGACGUAUACGGUGUGACGCCUGCCCGGUGCCGGAAGGUUAAUUGAUGGGGUUAGCGGUAACGCGAAGCUCUUGAUCGAAGCCCCGGUAAACGGCGGCCGUAACUAUAACGGUCCUAAGGUAGCGAAAUUCCUUGUCGGGUAAGUUCCGACCUGCACGAAUGGCGUAAUGAUGGCCAGGCUGUCUCCACCCGAGACUCAGUGAAAUUGAACUCGCUGUGAAGAUGCAGUGUACCCGCGGCAAGACGGAAAGACCCCGUGAACCUUUACUAUAGCUUGACACUGAACAUUGAGCCUUGAUGUGUAGGAUAGGUGGGAGGCUUUGAAGUGUGGACGCCAGUCUGCAUGGAGCCGACCUUGAAAUACCACCCUUUAAUGUUU
rnacentral:rRNA from 1 species